GAUGAACGCUGGCGGCGUGCCUAAUACAUGCAAGUCGAGCGAACAGACGAGGAGCUUGCUCCUCUGACGUUAGCGGCGGACGGGUGAGUAACGCGUGGAUAACCUACCUAUAAGACUGGGAUAACUUCGGGAAACCGGAGCUACUACCGGAUAAUAUAUUGAACCGCAUGGUUCAAUAGUGAAUGACGGUUUUGCUGUCACUUAUAGAUGGUUCCGCGUCGCAUUAGCUAGUUGGUAAGGUAACGGCUUACCAAGGCGACGAUGCGUAGCCGACCUGAGAGGGUGAUCGGCCACACUGGAACUGAGACACGGUCCAGACUCCUACGGGAGGCAGCAGUAGGGAAUCUUCCGCAAUGGGCGAAAGCCUGACGGAGCAACGCCGCGUGGGUGAUGAAGGUCUUCGGAUCGUAAAACUCUGUUAUUAGGGAAGAACAAAUGUGUAAGUAACUAUGCACGUCUUGACGGUACCUAAACAGAAAGCCACGGCUAACUACGUG
rnacentral:rRNA from 1 species